rnacentral:lncRNA from 1 species
CAACAUAAACAAGAUCACCGAGACGGAUAGGUUCCAAAAAAGAGUAAUCCGGAGGUCUUUUUUGGAGGCUGUCCCCCCGCUGUUAAAUUCUCCGGAAAAAUGGAGCAUACCUGCCAAAUGUAAAAUGACCCAAAGGAUUGCCAACAGCACAAGGUUUAUGGUCCGCUCCUGUAAAAUAUUGAUCCAUUUGGCUGAACUUUUUAGAACAGUUCACAUAAUUCUAGCAUGUCUUGUGAAUGAGUGGCCAAUGAAUGGCCAGCAUGCAAUGUUCAGAGAUGUUUGACAAGGAAUAUCGGUCGAAGAAGGCCCAUAAAUAGGCUGCACAGUGGUGAUGGAAGUUGAAGCUGAAGAGACACGCACACACACACACACACACAGCUGAAGACCCAAGGUUUGAUUUCCUUUUCACCACGUCUAUUAUCGAGUGCGCUUUAUCUCGGGCUUCCGGCCUUUGUACAAGGGGAAAGAAGAAACUGUUGCCAUAUCGACAACGGGAAAAGAUUCUGGAGUACUCAUUUAAUGGGAAACUUUUACUUCUAAAGAUGAAGUGAUUUGGCACUGAUGGAUGUACAAUAAUAAUGAUUGUGUCUGAUUCCAUGGAAGUGAUUUGGUACGUAAUAAUCCGCUUACUCAUCAGCGAAAUUGUCCUAUUCAUAGUUUUUGCUGAUGUUGGUAGGGUUGAGAAGCUUGGGUGGUGUUAAAUUUUAUCAGAGUGCUGAUGGAUGUAUGCAUUUUUGCAAUUAUGAUUUAAGCGGUGAGUGAUGGAGUUUGAGUUUUGAUUUAAGGAAUGUGAAUUUGGAGGUGUCACAUUUUCACUUUGAUAUAAUUCACAUUACCUCAGUAGAUUGUUAAAGAAAACAUAACACCACUAAUCACAUUGAAUCAGACUUUUGGAGAGAGAAUUCUAUUUUUAUUUUUAUUUUUCUUUCGCUUUACCAGACAUUACUAAUAUAACAUUUUCAUCAGACAUCAAUAAUGUAACCUUUUCAAAAGAUACUUAACUCUGAAGACCCAACAGUUUCAUAAAACCUUAGAUACCUUUUUUUGGUUCAUCGUAUAUCAAUUAAAAGAAUUGCUAAGUUAAAUUGUAUUGGUAUGAUUAUGUAAUGGACAAGUUUUUUUUUUUUUUUUGGUCAUAUUAAACCCAAUUUCUAUAGUUUUCAGACGUUUUUAUCCUAUCUAAAAAAAAUUCGGAAAUGGGUGCAGUAUUUGUUAGUGAAAAGAAUCGGAUAACUAGUAAAUCUCUUCUAAGAAAAAAAUAGAAUUAAUUCACCAGUUUUUCCAGUGGCACGGGUAUCUUAGCAAGUAAUAAUGAAGGGAAUGUGCAAGAGAGAUGAACCCUUAGACGCGAAUUAGGAUAGGAAGGAACAAAAUAGGGUUAUUCGCACUUACCAUUUCAUUGACCAACUUGAGAAACUUCAAUCUCCUUCGAUAUCCAGAUAUCUCGAUAUUCUCUUGACGAACAAUUUUCCUCCCAAAAUCUAUCACCCAAUCAUGCAUCGAUACUUUGCCAUGAUCAAGAAUCUUGAUUAAGGACUUACUGACAAGGGCGCCAAUUUCAACAUUCGGGACAAAGUCGCAAGCCCAUAUGUACACUGCAUCUUGCAAUGUCCAGGAAAAUUUGUUUCUCCCCAUAUUCAAGUCCCUCAUUUAUUAACUUCAACUUCUGUUGGACCCUUUCGAGAGGCACUUCAUUGAUUGACUUCUCCCGAACCUUGUCGAGAGGCUUCUAUCAAAUUUUUCCAAGAGGCACUUCAUUCAUUGGCUUUUGUCGAACCUUUUCGAGAGGCACGUUCCUCGUUAAAUUCUUUACUAAAGACACAAAUUUCCUCAUUGAAUUCCCUAUGAUCGACACUUCCCUCCUGAACUCCUGUCGGAUAUAUUCAAGAUGCGCUUCCUGCAAAUUCUUUGGUGCACUUUUCCAAUCUGCUUUAAGUCUUAGAGUUAAGGGCCCUUGUGGCUUAGGAAAAGCCCAUGUGGUGUUUUUGAUGGAAACAAAAAAACCAGAAUGUAGUACUCAAAAGAAUCCAAAAGAGGCUGAAAUUCCCGAGCUGUCUUAUUGAAGAUUCUAUUGGCCUAGCAGGCGGCUUGGCGGUAUUUUGGAAUGAGCGGGUUUCUCUAGCUAUAGAAAAUCAGACUUUGGACUAUAUGAAUAUGAUAUGCACAGAUGUUGAGAAUGGCCUACCCAUGCACCUCACUUGUCUUCACGUGCUAGCGGUGUAUUCACAACGACAGAGAUUAUGGGAUGAACUGUGCCAUAUCAACCACUAUAACACUUUACCAUGGGUGUUCGUUGGAGACUUCAACGAAAUCAUUUACCAUUAGGAGAAAACUAGUAAGCGACUAGCGGACCACUAUCGAAUGCACUCUUUCUGUGAAUUUUUAAAUGCCUGCUUUCUCAUGGAUGUUGAAAGUAAGGGCUGUGCUUUCACUUGGAUUAAUAAUCGAGAAGGAGAGGAGUUACUUAAAGAACGGCCAAAUCGAGUCCUAUGUACACUAGAUUGGCAUCUGACCUUUCCGAAAGCUGAAGUUUUUGCCUUACUUGCCCUGGGUUCUUAUCACAGCCUGCUAUUGUUAAACACGGAUGCCAACUCUAUUCAACGAAAGAGGAGUUUUAUCUUUGAGGCUUUUUGGCUUCAAGAUCAAGAGUGUCAUUCGGUCAUUGCUGAAUCCUGGCUUUCCUCACAAAGGUCAGCCCCAACUCUUUCAUCUAAACUCAAGACUAUUUCGGCGGCUCUUGCUACUUGGAGUCGACAAAAGUUUGCUAAGGGACACCAUUAGAUUAGCCUUUUGAAAUAGAAAAUCCAGCACCUCACAAAUCAACCUAAUAGUCUUUAUGACAUAGCGGAGGUUAAUCGCCUAAAAAUGGAGAUCCAGCAGCUAUGGCAGCAGGCAGAGCAAUAUUGGGCGAUGAGAUCACGAGUCAAUUGGCUAAAAUGAGGGGAUAAGAACACAAAAUUUUUCCAUGCCACCACAAUCCAACACGGGCAACGUAAUCGUAUAAGUAUGCUACAAGAUGAAGAUCAAACUCGGGUCCGAGAUCAACAGAGACUGAAGGAUAUGACAGGAAAUUUCUUUCGACGGUUGUACACCUCAAUGGGACAUCAUGUCUAUAGACCUAUCCUGAUGCAAUGUCCACAUGUGGUAACGGAGGAUAUGAAUAUUGUUCUCACAACUGCUGUUACUCGGGUAGAAGUUAGACAAGCAGCUUUUCAGUUGGGAGCCAUAAAAGCGCCAGGACCAGAUGGAUUGAAUGGGAUGUUCUGCCAACAUCAUUGGAAUAUUCUAUAGGAAGAUCUUUUCCUAUCGGUGUAAGAAUUUUUUAACUCUAGUGUUACGUGACCUGAGCUUAAUCAAACCACUAUAUCUUUGAUUCCCAAGGUACCAAACCCAGAAUGCCUGGACCAAUAUUGCCCGAUCAGCCUUUGCAACCAUCUACAAAAUCAUCUCUAAGAUACUAGCCAACCGCCUUAAACCUUGGUAACCUGAGCUGAUCUCUAUAGAGCAAUCCGCUUUUGUUAGUGGCUGUUAGAUCCAAGAUAACAUUUUAGUCGUUCAAGAGGUCCUCCAUCAGCUUCGGAUCAGAAACAGAAAGAAAACAUUUCAAGCAGUUCUGAAGUUAGACAUGCAUAAGACAUACGACCGGGUUGAAUGAGAUUUCCUUUAGGAUUAUUUACUCCAUUUGGGUUUCCAUACCACAUGGGUUCAAUGGGUAAUGCAAUGCAUCACUACCGCAUUGCUCAGUGUUAAACUCAAUGGAGAAAAUCUACCUUAUUUUAACCUAACAAGAGGGCUCAAAUAGGGGGACCCCAUCUCUCCAUACCUUUUCAUUCUGGUGGCGAAUGUGUUGUCUAUACUUAUCCAUCGUGCUGUGGGCAUAAGAAAUCUGAAAGGUAUUCAAUUAAACAGGUGGUGUCCUACUCUUUCCCAUCUAUUUUUCACAAAUGAUGCUAUAUUUUUCCUUGAUAGCAAAAUACAGGAAUGUCAGAACUUAGCCAAUAUCCUCAACCAAUAUUGCUUAGCAAUGGGUCAAGCUGUGAACCGGAACAAAUCUGGUAUUUUUUUUAGUAAGGCCUAUCCCAUUCUUCUACAGGAAAACCUGGCCCAAGAACUUCGAGUACUUGUGAUUACUAAGAUGGGUAAAUACCUAGGUAUACCAUCAGAUUUGGGGAGAUAAAAAAAAAAAAAAAAAGAGACGUUCACCUGGAUAUUGGGUCAAGUAAAUUCAAAACUGGAAGGCUGGAAAGAGCAAUUCAUUUCCAAGGGUGGUAAGGAAACUUUAAUUAAAACAGUAGUCCAGGCAAUCCCUAAGUAUGCCAUGUCUAUCUUUAAGAUUCAUGUGUCUCUCUGUAAAGCUAUUGAGCAGAAAGUUGCCAAAUUCUGGUGGCAAAAUCAUAGUAGCAAGUCCGGUAUCUAUUGGAAAAGAUGGGAUGUACUUAAGAAUAGAAAAGACACCAGGGGUCUUGGCUUUCGUGACCUUAUCACUUUUAACAAAGCCUUACUAGGAAAACAUGCAUGGCAUCUCCUACAAAACCCAUCCUCUCUGUGGAGUCAACUUUUUAAGGGUCUUUACUAUCAUUCAAUAGAGUUCUAGCAUGCCGAUAAAGAGGCUAGACCAUCCUGGGGCUAGCAGAGUAUACUGACCGGCAGAGACUUGAUAUUGAAUCACAUACAAUGGUCAAUUGGAGAUGGAAAACAUAUCUCAAUACGAGAAGAUAAAUGGCUUUCUCAAGGUAUCAUUGGUGGGCCUACGCCUAGAGGAGAACCGGUGAAGGUUGCAAACUUCAUCCUACCGGGUCAGAAUGAGUGAAAUGAAUCCCUUCUACGUAGUAGUUUUGAUGAUCAAACUGUUGAGGAAAUCCUUACUAUUUAGCUUCGCUCUUCAUUGUACAGUGGAUCAACUCAUUUGGAAUGGCACUCAAAAUGGCCUAUAUAUAGUUAAAAAUGGUUAUAGUUCCAUCAGAUAUACAGAAGUCACGAAUGAACAUAACUCCAGCUCCUCCUCCUAUCAAACACCACAACUGCUUUGGCGCGAGAUAUGGAAUAUGAACCCUCCCCCCCCCCCCCCCCCAGCGUGAAGCUACGAAUAUUUAUGUGAUCCUUAUGCCAUAAUGCUCUAUCUACAAGGGACAAUCUCUACCACAAACGCAUCAUUCCAGAUCCAAAGUGUCAACUUUGUCAAACGCACAGCCCAGAAACAAUAGAGCACAUACUACUUCUAUGUCCAUGGACACGCAAUGUUUGGUCUCAUUCAGCAAUUCAAAUCACACCAACAACAUAUCACACACAACGCAUUGAUGCUUAUUUAACAGAUCUUUUAAACGAACAAGAUCUCUUACCUGAUCUGGAGAUCCUUGUGCAUAUACUGUGGCAGAUCUGGAAGUCCAAGAAUAACUUUGUUUUUCGCAGGCUUCUUCCUGAUCUAGCACAGGUAGUUGCAGUGGCUUUUGCGAAUGCCAAAGCUGCUUGUCAUUGUAAUGGAGUGAUGUCAGGAUCUCGGAUUUUCCCCUUAGAUUCAGCUUGGGUGUGGCGCCCACCAGAGCCCUGAACGUUGAAAAUCAACAUCAACGGAGCUUUUCCCACUACACCAAAUGAGGGAUCAAUGGCAUCUGUCAGUCGAGAUCAUUCCGGCCAACUUGUUGACAGAUUCACUCGCACCGUUAUAGCUACCUCGGCUCUGCAGAAUAAGGUACAUGCCCUCACACUCACCUUACAAAACCUGUUGUAGAAAAGGAUGGAAAAGAAACAACUCACUUUGGGAUCCGACUGCUUGGUACCCGGAGAAGCCGUGCAUCUCCCUUGUUCGACGCCAUGGGAGAUCCGUGCGCUCAUCUCAGAGGCUGUGGCACUGCUCCCCUGCUUCCCUAGC